rnacentral:lncRNA from 1 species
CUUAGCAUUACAUAUGGUGACACAUACCCUAUAAAGGUGCUCAGAUGAGCAAAAGCUAUUUCCUUAUUGAAUGUGUGAUGAUUCAGAAGGUCUUUUGCAAUAACACGGAAGAGUACUUCAAAUUAUAUGGUUGCAUUUCAAGCGCUAUGUGAAGAAAACACUAAGUACUAGAAGUACUACACAAAGAUCAUGUAGAGGAAGAUUGUUGAGUAAGGUCGAGCCUACCUUAUUUCGCCUAUAGAAGAUGUUUAAGGAUUUCAUUAAACUAGGAGGCAGACUCCAAGUUUGAGAAGCUCUAGAAUAUUCUCAAGGACAUGUUCAAGAUGUUAAGAAGAAAGUGGUGAUUUUAGACCAAAUAUACCUUUUGCAGCCAAUGAACAAGAGUUGCCAAGUUCGGAAAAGUAUUUCCGAGUGACUGAGAAGUAGUUGUGUCGGACCUGGCCAGUCCACAUGACCAAAAUAUCAGUAGUCGUCAUAUAUGGGUCUCUAAACCUAUAUAUUUAAACUUUCAUCUGAAAAGCCAAGCGGGUUCAGAUUAUUAGGUCAUUUCAUUUCGACCUUUUAGUCAAUUCAUUUCUACCCUAAGGCCAUUUCUUUUCAAUCGUCUGACAAAAUUGUUGAUUCACUUCACUCUGCGUAAUUGCCAUUUGUGACUUUAAUCAUUGUGGUUUGUUAGUUGUUAGUAGAUUUCCGGUGACCUAAAGACAAACAAGUAUUCACCAGAUUAAAUCCAUCAAACAAGUAUGCCUCGACCCAAGGGUCAAUCACAUGAUGCGGCUAGACCAUCUCUUAUGGAUUUGGUAGAACGUUAUUAUUUUUUUAGAAAACAAUGAUUGUUCUGAUGUUUUUGUAUACCCUAUGUUGGCUUAGUUAUGUUUGACUAGUAUUAGUACGAAAAAAAAAAAAAAACUUGGUUCCAUGACCAAAUUAGUUGGUGAUGGCAUUGCUAGACAGCCAGUUCAUCAUGAGUAGUACUUGGAUAGAUCAAUACAUCUAGAUCCAUAUGUUAAUGUAGAAGUUCUCAUCGAAACAAUUUUCUUAUGUCUUUUUAGCGACCUUAUCGAUCUUUUGCGGCAAGUCAAUUCCGCCACAUUUUACUUAUAUGCUUG